rnacentral:rRNA from 1 species
CCCUUAGAUGUUCUGGGCCGCACGCGCGCUACACUGACGAAUGCAACGAGCUUAUAACCUUGGCCGAAAGGUCUGGGUAAUCUCCAAAUUUCGUCGUGAUGGGGAUAGAUUAUUGCAAUUAUUAAUCUUCAACGGGGAAUGCCUAGUAAGCGCAAGGCAUCAGCUUGCGUUGAUUACGUCCCUGCCCUUUGUACACACCGCCCGUCGCUCCUACCGAUUGAAUGGUCCGGUGAAGCGCUCGGACCGCGGCCUCUUGACGGUUCGCUGUCGAUUGGCUGUGGGAAGUUCGUUAAACCUUAUCAUUUAGAGGAAGGAGAAGUCGUAACA